UACGUAGGGGGCUAGCGUUGUCCGGAAUCAUUGGGCGUAAAGAGCGUGUAGGCGGUCCGGUAAGUCCGCUGUGAAAGUCGGGGGCUCAACCCUCGAAUGCCGGUGGAUACUGUCGGGCUAGAGUGCGGAAGAGGCGAGUGGAAUUCCUGGUGUAGCGGUGAAAUGCGCAGAUAUCAGGAGGAACACCAAUGGCGAAGGCAGCUCGCUGGAACGGUACUGACGCUGAGGCGCGAAAGCGUGGGGAGCGAACAGG
rnacentral:rRNA from 1 species